CAGCAGCCGCGGUAAUACAUAGGUGGCAAGCGUUAUCCGGAAUUAUUGGGCGUAAAGCGUGCGUAGGCGGUUUAUUAAGUCUGGUGUGAAAUAUUACAGCUUAACUGUAAAGGGUCAUUGGAAACUGGUAAACUUGAGUACGGUAGGGGCAAGUGGAAUUCCAAGUGGAGCGGUGGAAUGCGUAGAUAUUUGGAGGAACACCAGUAGCGAAGGCGGCUUGCUGGGCCGGAACUGACGCUGAGGCACGAAAGCGUGGGGAGCAAACAGGAUUAGAUACCCUGGUAGUCCACGCCGUAAACGAUGAGUAUUAAGUGUCGGACAUAAGUUCGGUGCUGUCGUUAACACAAUAAAUACUCCGCCUGGGGAGUACGGUCGCAAGACUGAAACUCAAAGGAAUUGACGGGGACUCGCACAAGCGGUGGAGCAUGCGGAUUAAUUCGAUGCAACGCGAAGAACCUUACCAGGCCUUGACAUCCUGUUGACCGGGCUAGAGAUAGUCCUUUCCUUCGGGACAACAGAGACAGGUGGUGCAUGGCC
rnacentral:rRNA from 1 species